UCUUCCCAGAGGAUCAAACGGGGGGGAGGGGGGGGAUGUAAUCCAGGAUGGAAUCCAGGACUUCAAUCCCCACAAGCCUUUGCCCCACUUCCCCAGAAUGCCUUGUAAUCUCACCUGGGCCGAGAUCGAAAAGGGAUUUAACCUGAUUGCAAAGGCUUUUGAGCUCUUUUGGACUUCCGUUUUGGGGCAGAUGUGGCUCUUUCCAUAAUGUAGCGAGACCGGCAGCACCCCCAAUGCCGGCACCUGUCCAAACCCCAGGAUCUUCUGUCGGGCCUAGACAAAGGACACCCAUCCCUAACCGGCAGGCUGAGAACUUCCAAGGCUCCCACCCCCGACAGCUGUAAAAAGGAAUUCUUUAACUUCUUUCAUUGAACAGGGACCUGCAGGGCCUCUUACCCUAGACAUGUGGAGGGAUUAGGCAGCCCACAGAGACAGGAAGCAGGCACGGGGAGCCCCUGCCCAGCCAGCGGGAGGUGCAGGUCAGCAGUUAAGCUGGCAGUUGGGGGUCAGUUGUGGGCAGUUCAGGUUGGCAGUUGGGGGCAGGUGGCUGCUGGGAGGGAGCUGGGUGUUGGGGCUUGGUUGCUGGCAGUGGGGGUCGGCGUUUCUCUGAAGGUGGGCCCGAGCUUACCCAGAGGGCUUUGGGCUUUGGCCUUAGAGGGCUUUGGCCUCUGGGAUGUCCAGGGAGCAGCAGUCUGUCUCUGAGGCCAGGAGCGGCUCACAGUUGGGCUGCCACAGAAUUGGGCCUGAAGGAAGGAGGGAGGGAGUGCUGGCUGUCCAUGACUGCAGGCGUUUCUCCACAGAGCCCAGGGGAGGAGGCCUGGUGUGCCAGGCAGAAGGCCCUGGCCUGAGAAGACAGAGGAGGGUUGGCAGCAAUUGCAGGCCUUCAUUAGGAAUUGUGGGUAUGUUUGUAGGCCACCACGUGGGUGAUCUCUUUCCUCUUCUCUAGAUUUCCUCCUUUCCCAUCUCUUUUCCUUCAGCUGAAUUGUUCACUGUUAAAAGCUGCUCGAAGUCUUCUUUCCUCUGGCUCGAAGGGAUGCAGGAGAUGUCCAGCUCUGCUCUACUCUCAGGAAAGCUGAAAGGACUAGAAGCUGCUCUCGUAGUCUGUCAAAAGGCCCAUUUGAACCCUUACGGGGCCAUCCAAGCCACUGGACACAAGUACGCCAACGCCGACCGAGAAGAGGCAACAGUUACCUCCUCCCAGACGCCCCCAAAAGGGUGCCCCCUUCUCCGCCCAGGUAGAGAUCCCGAGCUAUCUACGGGGUACAGGCUCCCCCCUCGCCCCUGCCUGCAUCCCAGCUCCAGUCACCCUCCAGGUGUGCCUUUUCCCUCCCCCUCCCCACCCUUCCCCCCAGGAAGCCCUGCCGUACCUCCUCACUAGAGUCUCAUUAGUCUGGGCUCGGACCCCGUCAGCAAAUCUGAUAAGAGUGGGGUGAUGGGGGGGGGGGUGUCCAGGACCCACGUAUGAGUCUCUAGAGACGUCACCGUGAUCACAAUUUCCAGAAGGAGUGAGACCCCGGCAGGACCCUAACUGUGGAGCAGACAUCCAUUAGAAGAGUAGCACGUGGGCUGCAGGGUUGGAAGGGAUGGAGGCUGCACUUAGGAUAUUAAACCAAUUUGGGGGCAGCUGGGUAGCUCAGUGCAUGGAGAGCCAGGCCUAGAGAUGGAGGCCCUGGGUUCAAAUUUGACCUCAGACACUUCCCAGCUGGGUGACCCUGGAAGAGUCCUUACUGCUCUUCUGCCUUGGAAGCAAUACACAGUGUUGAUUGUAAGACACAAGGCGAGGAUUAAAAAUAAAUACAUAAAAGCCAA